rnacentral:lncRNA from 1 species
CCAGCUUAAUUUCUCACAACAAAAAACUCAUUUCAUCAAUCACUUCAAAUCAUUUUCUUUUGGGAAAUGGCUUCUAAUGUUAAAGCAUCAACUGCUCUUGUUCUUUCUCUUAACCUUCUUUUCUUUGCUUUUGUAAGCUCUCACAACGUGGAAAACCCCGUUUUUAUUCAUCCCGGAGAUGUGUACCAUAAUGGCAGAAUCACUCAUGGUCAUCCCGGUACAUGCAAUCCCCUAAAUCUCGGUGUAUGCCUUGGCCUGUUGGAUUUGGUGGGUGUUAGUGUCGGAAACGUACCUACAGAACCAUGUUGCAGCGUGAUUCAAGGAUUGGUCGAUCUUGAAGCUGCAGUUUGCCUUUGCACUGCUGUCAGAGCCAAUGUGUUGGGCAUUCCCAUCCACCUUCCUAUUUCAUUGAGCCUCUUACUCAAUAAAUGUGGAAGAGAAGUAGCUACGGAAUACAUUUGCAGCCCUUAAAUAGCCUUCUUCCCCACAUUCUUUGCUUUAAUUGUGUCUUGAAGUUUCCGUUUUCUAUUUGUUCCAUUUUUUAUGUUUCCUUUCUGAUUAAGUCUUUGUAUUGUUGCUCAUGAGUUGAGGACGGCUUUCAACCUUCCCUUUCAUUUUUAUUCUAAAUAAAAUGAGAAUAUUAUUUGAACAAAAAAUCCUAUUUUAUCAUAAUGAGUUGGAAGGGGUGUUUUUAGGGGGAAAAAUCAUAAUUAAUAUUUUCAACAUUAUUUUUAAUGUUAUAUGACUACCAAGUGGAUUUUUUAUUUCAAGGUGUCAAACCAGUGAAUUUAAUAGAAGAAUUUUAACAGCUGUGACUGUUGGACUUGAAUUUCUAUAUUCAUAAAAUACAGAGAUUAGAUUCCUCAAAAUACAAGUAGGAGACUAACCUCCUAAUGCACGAAGCGUACAUAUACUUAGAGCAUAUUUUAACCUCCCAAUCAAUUAAUCAAUCCAACGCGAAGCGUGGAAACCAUACCAGUUAGUGUAAAAAUAUUGAUCGCGUAUUUUUAUAUUUCAAUUUCUUUCCUAAAUACUCAGAUAUACAAAUUUUACUUGAAACUCUAUUCUAAUGUGCAAUGUUAUACAUAAACUUUGAUUUUGUGUAAUUUGGUUUCAUCCAAUUUUUAUAAAUCUCUAACACCAUUAGCAAUGCAACACCAUUUUAUAUGUAUAUGUUGCAUCCACAAAUAUUUAUAUUUAUAUUUAUGUGAUGUAAAAUAAAAUAAAUCGAUGUAUUUAUUUCUUUAAAUACAUAUAGUUGAAUUAAAAUCAAAGUUUCAACUAUACAUUUGAACCGCGAUUAAAUUUUCGUGCGCAUAAUUUCACCAAAUUAAAGUCGGUGUAUCAAAGUUCACAUUCAAUCAAAUUUCAUGUACAAUUUUGAGUUUUAUCCCUUUAUUUAGAGACCAGCUACAUUACUUAUUUCAAGUGUUUUACUGAGUUGGUGUGUAAUGUGGGUUCCUAUUUAAGCCAUCAAUUAAAGAAAGAAAAAUGCAUGUGUUGAGCCGAGGGACAGAAAACAUAAAAAAUGGUAAAUGCAGUUGUAGCCGUCUAGGUAAGUUUCUCGUUUUUUUUUCUUUUUCCACCUAACUAUUAAAACUUAAAAAAUGGUCAUUCAACUGUUAGACUUCUCCUUUUAUGGUCACCAGCCAUUAAAUGGCUAAUGGGAAGAUGAUGUAGCGGAUUAUAGAAUUGACAUAAAAGAAACUUUAAACCUCAACCUUUAUACACCGUGCCAAAUUAGUGUUGAUUCUAAAAAAUUAACCCUCAAUGUUUUCACAUUGUGUAAUUUGGUCUUCUUCUUCUUUUUCAAACUUUCAAUUCUUUGUGACCCUUUCACUAAAAAGCUAAAAAAGAAUAUAAAUCCAUCAACUAAAUUUGAUCGGAGAUACAACAAAAACACUCGAAAAUCAAAGAUGAUAAUUUUUCAUCUUUUCUUUCUCUCAAAAUUAGCCCUCAAUGUCACAAAUAAAAGUAAAAUUGCGAGAGAGAGAGAGAGAGAGAGCUAGAGACCUAAUUACACAACGUUUACAUGUUGAAGGUAAAGAUUUUUGGGAUCAAGACUAUAUUGACACAAUGUAGAAAUGUUCAGGGUUAAAGUUGCUAUUACGCCAACUGUAAAAGAUGUCAAGUUAUCUUUUCGUUAAUAAUUUAACAGCUGGUGACCAGAAAAGAAAAUUUCGAAUAAUUGGGUGACCAGAAAAGAAAAUCUCGAAUAGUUGGGUGAUCAUUUUGUAACUUUGCGUUGUUGGGUGACCAUGACAACUCUCAUAUUUAGAGUUAUUUUAGUAUAGUUUUUUUUAUAGAAUUUUAGGGGGUAAGUUGAGCAUUUAGGUUAAAUUUUAGUACAUUUUAUAGUUUUUCAGAUUAAUUAUAUUUUAUUUGAGUUUUAUCAUUUUUAGAGUUAGUUUGGAUUCGUGUGCUAUCUUCCUCUCUAUAUUGUAAGUUUCGGAUGAAGAACGGGGGCCUUGGAGCACGGGGUAAAAUAUAGUGAAGAGAAAUCAUCUGCUCCACCAAACUUGAUUCAGUGUGGUGGAGCACAAUCUUCAAUUAAGAAUUCCAGAUAGCAAGCAGCCCACUCCACUGCGAAUUCUACGUCUAGUGGAGCCAAGCGAUUAAUACCCUAAAAAUAGAGGGUGACGUGAUUAAGCGGAAUAGGAGAGGAAAAUGAGUGAAAAAAAAAAGAACUUGGAGGCCAAGGAACAAUUCUCUUACACUAAGGGGAGCUUCAACCUUGCAAAGACGAGAAGAAAAAGAGAUCUGGAGCGCUUGGCUUUAGUUCGACGAUUAUUUUUAUCUCUAGAUUAUUUUAUUUUUACUUUUUUUUCAAAGCAAGUUUGUUUUGAGUUUCUUCUUGUGAUGUUUUCUCAACGCAACAAGAAAUAAAAUCUAUUUUCUUGGAAUGAUGAUGAAUCAUAUUUUUUAGUUAAUUAAAUAUUUUCUCUUCAACUGUUUCAAUCUCUGUUAAUUAUUUAUUCAGCUUUAUGCUUAUUUACUCUGUUUGUCCGGCCACCAAGUCGUAUUAAUUUGGUGGUCUUGAUUUGUCGUAGAAGAGAAAAAUUAAGGUUUAGGUCUAGACUAAAUAGAUUAGGAUUAACUAUAGUAGCGCUGACGAAUGAGUUAAUUUACAGCUAGGAUAGGAAUAUACCUGAUGCGCCAAUCAACCCAAUAAGCUUUUCCGUAGUGGCGUUGCUCGACUUGCCUAGCACAAGAAUAUAGCUGGUGGGGGAGGGGGAUUAACUUAGCUAGAUAUUGGGAGGGUCUAGUUAAUGCCACAGAAUCAUAGGUUAAUAAUUGUAUAGACUGAACAAUUGAAUGAGAGAUAAUUGAUUAACAUAAUUAGGUAAAUUAGAGUUCCAAGAUCUUUCAAAAUCGAUUGAGAAACUUAGUAAUUUUCAUUUUUUUUAUGUAGUUUAAUAAAAUCUCUUUAAUUCCUUUAGCUUAACUUCAGUAGUAAUUAGAAUUUCUUUUUUUGAUCCAGAUUGGAAAAAUUUGGAUAAUUGAUAUUUAGCAGCUUAAAAUUAAAUUUGGCCCUCAUAGGAAGGGCAUCAUCUUAUCACUGUAUUACUUGAUCAAUACGUGCACUUACAUAAUAAAGUUUCCCACAUAAAACCAGAAAAGAAAUUAACUAGUAAUGGAGUGGCUACCUAUAUAGUUUACCACACCAUUAGUCCUGUUGAGCAGCUCAAAGAUUUUAACAUAUAUAUAUAUAUAUAUAUAUAUAUAUAUAUUUAUGACAGAAACCUUAAUUAGGCCAUGCAUGUCUGCAAAUAUAAUAUAUAUAUACAUAUACUAACAACGUUGUACUCAUGUUACUAAUUAAAUCGAUUAAAGAUGCCUUGUGAUAAAAAAUUCAUCCAUCAUAGACGUGGGAGAAUUUUGCCAGCCAAACAGAUACUCCAAGAUCCAAGAUUCUCCAACUAAUCAGACUUCGUGCCUCCCAUUUUCUAGUUCUAAAAAAGCUUCAAAGUUCAUACAUUCCAGCUAUAAAAACCCUUUGCUCCCUUCGCCACCUUCAUCGGCAGUUCCAGCUUAAUUUCUCACAACAAAAAACUCAUUUCAUCAAUCACUUCAAAUCAUUUUCUUUUGGGAAAUGGCUUCUAAUGUUAAAGCAUCAACUGCUCUUGUUCUUUCUCUUAACCUUCUUUUCUUUGCUUUUGUAAGCUCUCACAACGUGGAAAACCCCGUUUUUAUUCAUCCCGGAGAUGUGUACCAUAAUGGCAGAAUCACUCAUGGUCAUCCCGGUACAUGCAAUCCCCUAAAUCUCGGUGUAUGCCUUGGCCUGUUGGAUUUGGUGGGUGUUAGUGUCGGAAACGUACCUACAGAACCAUGUUGCAGCGUGAUUCAAGGAUUGGUCGAUCUUGAAGCUGCAGUUUGCCUUUGCACUGCUGUCAGAGCCAAUGUGUUGGGCAUUCCCAUCCACCUUCCUAUUUCAUUGAGCCUCUUACUCAAUAAAUGUGGAAGAGAAGUAGCUACGGAAUACAUUUGCAGCCCUUAAAUAGCCUUCUUCCCCACAUUCUUUGCUUUAAUUGUGUCUUGAAGUUUCCGUUUUCUAUUUGUUCCAUUUUUUAUGUUUCCUUUCUGAUUAAGUCUUUGUAUUGUUGCUCAUGAGUUGAGGACGGCUUUCAACCUUCCCUUUCAUUUUUAUUCUAAAUAAAAUGAGAAUAUUAUUUGAACAAAAAAUCCUAUUUUAUCAUAAUGAGUUGGAAGGGGUGUUUUUAGGGGGAAAAAUCAUAAUUAAUAUUUUCAACAUUAUUUUUAAUGUUAUAUGACUACCAAGUGGAUUUUUUAUUUCAAGGUGUCAAACCAGUGAAUUUAAUAGAAGAAUUUUAACAGCUGUGACUGUUGGACUUGAAUUUCUAUAUUCAUAAAAUACAGAGAUUAGAUUCCUCAAAAUACAAGUAGGAGACUAACCUCCUAAUGCACGAAGCGUACAUAUACUUAGAGCAUAUUUUAACCUCCCAAUCAAUUAAUCAAUCCAACGCGAAGCGUGGAAACCAUACCAGUUAGUGUAAAAAUAUUGAUCGCGUAUUUUUAUAUUUCAAUUUCUUUCCUAAAUACUCAGAUAUACAAAUUUUACUUGAAACUCUAUUCUAAUGUGCAAUGUUAUACAUAAACUUUGAUUUUGUGUAAUUUGGUUUCAUCCAAUUUUUAUAAAUCUCUAACACCAUUAGCAAUGCAACACCAUUUUAUAUGUAUAUGUUGCAUCCACAAAUAUUUAUAUUUAUAUUUAUGUGAUGUAAAAUAAAAUAAAUCGAUGUAUUUAUUUCUUUAAAUACAUAUAGUUGAAUUAAAAUCAAAGUUUCAACUACACAUUUGAACCGCGAUUAAAUUUUCGUGCGCAUAAUUUCACCAAAUUAAAGUCGGUGUAUCAAAGUUCACAUUCAAUCAAAUUUCAUGUACAAUUUUGAGUUUUAUCCCUUUACUUAGAGACCAGCUACAUUACUUAUUUCAAGUGUUUUACUGAGUUGGUGUGUAAUGUGGGUUCCUAUUUAAGCCAUCAAUUAAAGAAAGAAAAAUGCAUGUGUUGAGCCGAGGGACAGAAAACAUAAAAAAUGGUAAAUGCAGUUGUAGCCGUCUAGGUAAGUUUCUCGUUUUUUUUUCUUUUUCCACCUAACUAUUAAAACUUAAAAAAUGGUCAUUCAACUGUUAGACUUCUCUUUUUAUGGUCACCAGCCAUUAAAUGGCUAAUGGGAAGAUGAUGUAGCGGAUUAUAGAAUUGACAUAAAAGAAACUUUAAACCUCAACCUUUAUACACCGUGCCAAAUUAGUGUUGAUUCUAAAAAAUUAACCCUCAAUGUUUUCACAUUGUGUAAUUUGGUCUUCUUCUUCUUUUUCAAACUUUCAAUUCUUUAUGACCCCUUCACUAAAAAGCUAAAAAAGAAUAUAAAUCCAUCAACUAAAUUUGAUCGGAGAUACAACAAAAACACUCGAAAAUCAAAGAUGAUAAUUUUUCAUCUUUUCUUUCUCUCAAAAUUAGCCCUCAAUGUCACAAAUAAAAGUAAAAUUGCGAGAGAGAGAGAGAGAGAGAGAGCUAGAGACCUAAUUACACAACGUUUACAUGUUGAAGGUAAAGAUUUUUGGGAUCAAGACUAUAUUGACACAAUGUAGAAAUGUUCAGGGUUAAAGUUGCUAUUAUGCCAACUGUAAAAGAUGCCAAGUUAUCUUUUUGUUAGUAAUUUAACAGCUGGUGACCAGAAAAGAAAAAUUUGAAUAAUUGGGUGACCAGAAAAGAAAAUCAUGAAUAGUUUGGUGAUCAUUUUGUAACUUUGCGUAGUUGGGUGACCAUAAUAACUCUCAUAUUUAGAGUUAUUUUAGUAUAGUUUUUUUUAUAGAAUUUUAGGGGGUAAAUUGAGCAUUUUGGUUAAAUUUUAGUAUAUUUUAUUUGAGUUUUAUCAUUUUCAGAGUUAGUUUGGAUUCGUGUGCUAUCUUCCUCUCUAUAUUGUAAGUUUUGGAUGAAGAACGGGGGGCAUGGAGCACAGGGUAAAAAAUAGUGAAGAGAAAUCAUCUGCUCCACCAAACUUGAUUCAGUGUGGUGGAGCACAAUCUUCAAUUAAGAAUUUCAGAUAGCAAGCAGCCCACUCCACUGCGAAUUCUACGUCUGGUGGAGCCAAGCGAUUAAUACCCUAAAAAUAGAGGGUGAUGUGAUUAAGCGGAAUAGGAGAGGAAAAUGGGUGAAAAAAAAUAACUUGGAGGCCAAGGAACAAUUCUCUUACACUAAGGGGAGCUUCAACCUUGCAAAGACGAGAAGAAAAAGAGAUCUGGAGCGCUUGGCUUUAGUUCGACGAUUUUUUUUAUCUCUAGAUUAUUUUAUUUUUACUUUUUUUUCAAAGCAAGUUUGUUUUGUGUUUCUUCUUGUGAUGUUUUCCCAACGCAACAAGAACUAAAAUCUAUUUUCUUGGAAUGAUGAUGAAUCAUAUUUUUUAGAUAAUUAAAUAUUUUCUCUUCAACUGUUUCAAUCUCUAUUAAUUAUUUAUUCAGCUUUAUGCUUAUUUACUCUGUUUGUCUGGCCACCAAGUCGUAUUAAUUUGGUGAUCUUGAUUUGUCGUAAAAGAGAAAAAUUAAGGUUUAUGUCUAGACUAAAUAGAUUAGGAUUAACUUUAGUAGCGCUGACGAAUGAGUUAAUUUACAGCUAGGAUAGGAAUAUACCUGAUGCGCAAAUCAACCCAAUAUGCUUUUCCAUAGUGGCGUUGCUCGAUUUGCCUAGCAUAGGAAUAUAGCUGGUGGGGGAGGGGGAUUAACUUAGCUAGAUACUGGGAGGGUCUAGUUAAUGCCACAGAAUCAUAGGUUAAUAAUUGUAUAGACUGAACAAUUGAAUGAGAGAUAAUUGAUUAACUUAAUUAGGUAAAUUAGAGUUCCAAGAUCUUUCAAAAUCGAUUGAGAAACUUAGUAAUUUUCAUUUUUUAUGUAGUUUAAUAAAAUCUCUUUAAUUCCUUUAGUUUAACUUAAGUAGUUAUUAGAAUUUCUUUUCUUGAUCCAGAUUGGAUAAAAUUCGAUAAUUGAUAUUUAGCAGCUUAAAAUUAAAUUUGGUCCUCAUAGGAAGGGCAUCAUCUUAUCACUGUAUUACUUGAUUAAUACGUGCACUUACAUAAUAAAGUUUCCCACAUAAAACCAGAAAAGAAAUUAACUAGUAAUGGAGUGACUACCAAUAUAGUUUACCACACCAUUAGUCCUGUUGAGCAGCUCAAAGAUUUUAACAUAUAUAUAUUUAUGACAGAAAUCUUAAUUAGGCCAUGCAUCUCUGCAAAUAUAAUAUACAUACAUAUAUAUACAUUACUAACAACGUUGUACUCAUGUUACUAAUUAAAUCGAUUAAAGAUGCCUUGUGAUAAAGAUAUCAUCCAUCAUAGACGUGGGAGAAUUUUAUAUAUAUAUAGUUGCCAGCCAAACAGAUACUCCAAGAUCCAAGAUUGUUCAACUAAUCAGACUUCGUGCCUCUCAUUUUCUAGUUCUAAAAAAGCUUCAAAGUUCAUACAUUCCAGCUAUAAAAACCCUUUGCUCCCUUUGCCACCUUUAUCGGUAGUUCCAGCUUAAUUUCUCUAAACAAAACACUCAUUUCAUCAAUCACUUCAAAUCAUUUUCUUUUGGAAAAUGGCUUCUAAUGUUAAAGCAUCAACUGCUAUUGUUCUUUCUCUUAACCUUCUUUUCUUUGCUUUUGUAAGCUCUCACAACGUGGAAAACCCCGUUUUUAUUCAUCACGGAGAUGUGUACCAUAAUGGCAGAAUCACUCAUGGUCAUCCCGGUACAUGCAAUCCCCUAAAUAUCGGUGUAUGCCUUGGCCUGUUGGAUUUGGUGGGUGUUAGUGUCGGAAACGUACCUACAGAACCAUGUUGCAGCGUAUUAAGAUUCUCUUUUCUUGUAGUUUUCCAGAAUGGAAACUAUCUUGAUUAAUUUCAGAGAAGCAUUCACGUAUUUAAUACAUGUAGGAGAGAGUAACUGACUAACCUACUGUAACAGAAACUACUAACAACUCUAACUAUUAACUAACUGUAUUAACUACUAUUAUCCCUAACAUGCCCCGUACAUAACAGUUUUCUAUUUUCAAUGAAGACUUUUCCCACUAGUACUAACAACACACAGGUGAUCGCGAAACUUAGAGAACAUUCCUGCUGACAGAGGCUUUGUUAGUAUAUCUGCAUUCUGGUCAGACGCAGAAAUAUGCUUUACAUGAAGUACGCCAUCUGUAACUUUCUCUCUGACGAAGAAUAAGUCAAUUCCGAAAUGCUUAAACUUGGAGUGCAUGACUGGAUUUCCUGCAACAGCAACUGCUGCUAAGCUGUCGCACCAUACCACGGCCUUCGUUGGUACUAAGACACCCAACUCAGUCAACAACGCCCGAAUCCACACAACUUCGGUAGUGACAAGAGCCACACUCCUGUACUCAGCUUCUACUGUUGAUCUCGAAAUAACUUGUUGCUUUCUGGAACUCCAAGAGAUUGGAUUCCCUCCGAGAAACACACAAAAACCCGAUGUUGACCUCCGAUCAUCCACAUCUGAGCCCCAGCUGGCAUCCGAAUAUCCCUCAAGUAAGAACCUUGAAGUUCGGGUGAAUUUCAACCCAUAGUCCAAAGUUCCUUGUAAAUACCUUAAAAUUCUCUUUACUGCCUUAAAGUGUAAAUCCGAAGGUUUGUGCAUAAACUGGCAAACCUUAUUCACUGAAUAUGCUAUGUCAGGCCUAGUGAUGACAACAUAUUGGAGGGCACCAACAAUACUUCUGUAUUGACGCUCAUCUUCAAUAGGACUUCCUUCAUAGGCUGACAAUCGGCUCGUGGUGACCAUAGGCGUUGGUAAACCCUUAGCUUUAUCCAUAAACACUUUCUAAAGGAGAUCAGCAACAUACUUUUUCUGAGUAAGAAACACUCCUUGAGUAGUAUAACUCACUUCUAUGCCUAAGAAAUAAUGCAGCUUGCCUAGGUCUUUGAGGGAAAACUUCUCAUUUAGCUGAGUGACAAACUCAUCUAUGAAUACGUCAUCAUUCCCUGUGAUGAUAAUGUCAUCCAUGUAAACUAACACAUAAACCAUCCGAGAGCCCGACUGUAGAAUAAACAAAGAACUGUCAGCUUUGGAUGCUUUAAACUAAAAAUCAACCAAAAACUCUCGCAACUUGUAAAACCACGCCCUUGGUGCCUGUUUGAGACCCUACAGGGCCUUUCGAAGUCGACAUACUAGCUGUUGACCAUUGGCGCCUUGCUGUUCAAACCCCGGAGGCUACAACAUGUAGAUUUCUUCUCGAAGGUCUCCAUUCAAGAACGCAUUAUUUAUGUCAACUUGUCGAAGCGACCAGUUGAAAGAGACUGCCAACGCAAGGACCACUCUUAUGGUAGUAGGCUUCACUAUAGGGCUGAAGAUUUUGCGGAAAUCUAUUCCAGCUUCUUACAAGUACCCCUUAACCACAAGUCGACCUUUAUGCCUCGCAAUAGACCCAUCUGCAUGUCGUUUGAGCUUGAAAAUCCAUUUGCAGCCAAUUGCUUUACGACCAGCUGGUAAUGGCAUGAGAUCCCACGUAUGGUUCGCAAGUAAGGCUCGAUACUCCUCCUGAGCAGCGUUCGUCCAAGUAGUACUCUGAAAAGCCUCAACUAUGGUCAACGGUUCCUUCUCUUCUAAACAUGAAGAAAACACCUUUGGCUUAAAAAUCCCGCUUUUGGCACGAGUCUGCAUGGGAUGGACGUUCAUAUUUUGUGGAACCUCCACACUGGUCUCAUGCUGAACACUUGAAUAAGACCCAUCAGCUUGUGACUCAACAACUACAGGAGAAAUUUGAGGUGAGUUGGUAGAUGAAAAACCUUGAUGGGAAGUCUCAGAAGCCAUCCGAUUGGAGCCUACAUGAGAUUGACCAUGAGAAUUCUCAGAAGAAGACCGAUUAACAACUACAGGAAGUAUGGUCUGGCCAAGCAGGUUUUGUGUAGAGGUAACUGAAGAUCGAGAACAAAAACCAUGCUGAAAAGGAAAGAGCUUCUCAUCAAAGCGAACAUGACGAGACAGAUACACUCGGCCAUCAGCAGCUAAACACCUAUAACCCUUUGUAUUAGGGGCACUGCCAAGAAACACACAAAGUUGUGAUCUGAACUGCAACUUGUGCUUUUGAAAAACUCGUAAGUCAGGAAAACAUGCACACCCAAACACUCGAAGCAGGUCAUAGCUUAGCUUAUGUUUGUGAAGUUUUUCAUACGGAUUGACAUUGCGCAGCACGGGAGUAGGCAGUCUAUUCGUCAAAUGAGCAGCAUGUGCAAAUGCAAAAUACCAGAAAUUUAAAGGAAUACCAGACUGAGCUAGGAGUGACAGUCCCAUGUCGACAACUUGGCGAUGCUUCCUCUCAGCAACUCCAUUUUGCUCCGAAGUGUAUGGACAAGUGGCUCGAUGUACGACGCCCAAGCGAGAGAGUUCCUUUUUCAGACCACGAUACUCUCCACCCAGUCCGUUUGCAACACCUUGAUAGAACACCCAAACUGCACUUUGACCAUUUGAUGAAAAUCAAAAAAACAACGAACCACCUCAGACUUGUUCUUAAGAAAGUAAAUCCACGUGUAUCGGCUAUACAUAUCAACAAAAGAAACAUAGUAACAAAAACCAUUUGAUGUCAUACAAGCUGGUCCCCAUACAUCUGAGACCACUAGCUCAAAAGGAAAGGAAUACACUGUCUUGGAUGGAGAAAAAGGAAUCUUGUGAGCUUUGCCUAGUUGACACGAACUACACAAACUAGGUAAGCUAGUCUGAUCAAAACGAACUUUACAAGACUUUAAUACAUGAUCCAACACUUUGGAACAUGGAUGGCCAAGUCGAUUAUGCCAUAAGGCAUUCGACGAGAGUUGAACAUUAUUGAGCAAACUGGAACUAUGCUUUGAGAGAGAGUGAUUAGAACCGACAGCAGACUUGGAAAAUUGAAACCGAUAAAGACCUUCAUGCAUGUGGCCCUCGAGAAGAAUCAUCCCUGUCUGUAUGUCCUUCACAAAGCCGAGAAACGGGUGAAACUCAAAAUAAACCCCAUUGUCUUUUGCAAAUUGGCCUAUAGACAUCAAGUUUUUACACACUGUAGGUACAUGCAAUACAUUCUGAAGAUGUAAGAGCCUGGAACCUGCUAAAACACUAGAGGACCCUACAUGAUCAAUAGAAACAGGCUUACCAUUCCCCAUGAGAACACGACCUGUACCUGUAUAGGGAGAGACAUUCACAAGGGUUGACCUUUCAGGCGUAAUAUGAUUUGUCGCACCCGAAUCCGGAUACCAAGUUUGAUUAGAUUGAAUUGUGGUCUACGAAGAUGGUGAUUGUGAACACGACCCUAUGCACGAACCCAUAAACGAGCAAACUAUUGCAAGAGGAGUGAAGUCACGAGACUGAUGAAAGUUAACCGACGGAGUUUGACCAGAGAAAUUUUUAUCGAACCGAUGGUAGCAGUCUUGAACCACAUGUCCAAUCUUUCCACACAGUUGACACUGUGGUCUGGACCAAGACCAUCCUCGACCACCUCUAGUUCUCCCACGCGACCAUCCUCGACCAGCACCAGUAUCUCCUUGUUUAGAAGACUGAGAAUAAGUCGACUUGGACCCUUCUCCAGAGCGACCUUGAAACUUAGUCACCAAAUUUGCUUGUACAGAAGUUUCUGUCAUCAUCUCUAAAUGUCUAGCCUUACAAUCAAGAAGCAUGUUAGUGAGUAAAUCCAAAGAAAUUGGAGUCGCAGAAGCAAACACUCGAACUGACUCAUACUCCAUAGGGAGACCAGAUAAAAUAACACUUGUUCUCUUUCCGUUACCUCACUGCCAACUGCUGCUAAACUGUCACUUAACUUUUUGACUUUGGCCAGAUACUCUUUAAUGGUUAAAUUGGCUUUCUCGAUAGAAUACAAAGCAUGACGCAAAUUCCCCACCUUAAAAUUUGAAAAGGUUCCAAACCGCUUUUCAAUCGUAGUCCAAAGAUCAACACUCGUUUUUGCUGUUGUGAGAUGAACCAUGAUUUCAUCAGUGGCUGUCGAUAGAAGCCACGACGCUAAACAUUUGUCCUGCUUCCUAAAAGCAAGAAACGCAGGAUUAUCCAACAUCUACCCAUCAACGCCUGCAAUAACUGCUGGAGGAGCUGAAACAGUCCCCAACACAAAACCUUCAAGGCUGUACCCUUCAAGGAUGAGUAACAAUUGAUGCUUCCACAGCAAAAAAUUAUGAUCAGCCAAUUUGAUUGUAUCAUGUUUAGCAAAGUACUGUACUGUCGAUAGUCCAUCAUUGCCAAGAUGCGCCGAAUGAAGCUCUUCUCCAGAACCGGUAGAACCACGUGGAGUCUCUAGUCCAGGAACUGGCUCCGUGGCCAUGAAGAAAAAUAAUGAAGAAAAACAACCACAAAAACCUUUAAAAAAAACUUAGGCUCUUGAUACCAUAUUAAGAUUCUAUUUCCUUGUAGUUUCCAGAAUGGAAACUAUCUUGAUUAAUUUCAGAGAAGCAUUCACGUAUUUAAUACAUGUAGGAGAGAGUGACUGACUAACCUACUGUAACAGAAACUACUAACAACUCUAACUAUUAACUAACUGCAUUAACUACUAUUAUCCCUAAGACAGCGUGAUUCAAGGAUUGGUCGAUCUUGAAGCUGCAAUUUGCCUUUGCACUGCUGUCAGAGCCAAUGUGUUGGGCAUUCCCAUCCACCUUCCUAUUUCAUUGAGCCUCUUACUCAAUAAAUGUGGAAGGGAAGUAGCUACGGAAUGCAUUUGUAGCCCUUAAAUAGCCUUCUUCCCCAUUCUUUGCUUUAAUUGUGUCUUGAAGUUUCCGUUUUCUAUUUGUUCCAUUUUUUAUGUUUCCUUUCUGAUUAAGUCUUUGUAUUGUUGCUCAUGAGUUGAGGAAGGCUUUCAACCUUCCCUUUCAUUUUUAUUCUAAAUAAAAUGAGAAUAUUAUUUGAACAAAAAAUCCUAUUUUAUCAUAAUGAGUUGGAAGGGGUGUUUUUAGGGGGAAAAAUCAUAAUUAACAUUUUCAACAUUAUUUUUAAUGUUAUAUGACUACCAAAUGGAUUUUUUAUUUCAAGGUGUCAAACCAAUGAAUUUAAUAGAAGAAUUUUAAUAGCUAUGACUGUUGGACUUGAAUUUCUAUAUUCAUAAAAUACAGAGAUUAGAUUCCUCAAAAUACAAGUAGGAGACUAACCUUCUAAUGCAUGAAGCGUACAGAUACUUAGAGCAUAUUUUAACCUCCCAAUUUUUGUUUUAAAUUUUGAUACAAUCAAUUAAUCAAUCCAACGCGAAGCGUGGAAACCAUACCAGUUAGUGUAAAAAUAUUGAUCGCGUAUUUUUAUAUUUCAAUUUCUUUCCUAAAUACUCAGAUAUACAAAUUUUACUUGAAACUCUAUUCUAAUGUGCAAUGUUAUACAUAAACUUUGAUUUUGUGUAAUUUGGUUUCAUCCAAUUUUUAUAAAUCUCUAACACCAUUAGCAAUGCAACACCAUUUUAUAUGUAUAUGUUGCAUCCACAAAUAUUUAUAUUUAUAUUUAUGUGAUGUAAAAUAAAAUAAAUCGAUGUAUUUAUUUCUUUAAAUACAUAUAGUUGAAUUAAAAUCAAAGUUUCAACUAUACAUUUGAACCGCGAUUAAAUUUUCGUGUGCAUAAUUUCACCAAAUUAAAGUCGAUGUAUCAAAGUUCACAUUCAAUCAAAUUUCAUGUACAAUUUUGAGUUUUAUCCCUUUAUUUAGAGACCAGCUACAUUACUUAUUUCAAGUGUUUUACUGAGUUGGUGUGUGAUGUGGGUUCCUAUUUAAGCCAUCAAUUAAAGAAAGAAAAGUGCAUGUGUUGAGCCGAGGGAAAGAAAACAUAAAAAAUGGUAAAUGCAGUUGUAGCCAUCUAGGUAACUUUCUCGUUUUUUUCUUUUUCCAUCUAACUAUUAAAACUUAAAAAAUGGUCAUUCAACUGUUAGACUUCUCCUUUUAUGGUCACCAGCCAUUAAAUGGCUAAUGGGAAGAUGAUGUAGCGGAUUAUAGAAUUGACAUAAAAGAAACUUUAAACCUCAACCUUUAUACACCGUGCCAAAUUAGUCUUGAUUCUAAAAAAUUAACCCUCAAUGUUUUCACAUUGUGUAAUUUGGUCUUUUUCUUCUUUUUCAAACUUUCAAUUCUUUGUGACCCUUUCACCUAAAAAGCUAAAAAAGAAUAUAAAUCAAUCAACUAAAUUUGAUCGGAGAUACAACAAAAACACUCGAAAAUCAAAGAUGAUAAUUUUUCAUUUUUUCUUUCUCUCAAAAUUAGCCCUCAAUGUCACAAAUAAAAGUGAAAUUGCGAGAGAGAGAGAGAGAGAGAGAGAGAGAGAGAAAGCUAGAAAGAAAACAUAAAAAAUGGUACAUGCAGUUGUAGUCACCUAGGUAAGUUUCUCGUUUCUUUUUCUUUUUCCACCUAACUAUUAAAACUUAAAAAAUGGUCAUUCAACUGUUAGACUUCUCCUUUUAUGGUCACCAGCCAUUAAAUGGCUAAUAUGAAGAUGAUGUAGCGGAUUAUAGAAUUGACAUUGUCGAAACCAUUUUUUUGAAAGAAAAAAAAUUUUAGGUUGUCGACUUUAAAAAAAGAAAAUUUGGAGUCGCCACUAAUCUUUUAUUGAGGUGUGAUUGGAUCACCUAAAAAACGGCUUAGGUCUACGAGUUUUAAAAAAAUGGAUCCGGGAGUCUGUUACGUACGAGGAAGGAUUAGCACCCUCGUAACGCCCAAAAUUGGUACCUAGUUAAUUAAUUAGUGUCUUAAUGUCGAGAAUUUGAAGAAUAUAAUCCUUAGCAAAAACUUAAAAAAAGUUACGUAUUAAGACCCUUACCAUUUCAAAGAAAGAAAAAUGCCACACCCAAUGCGUUAGGGCACAACAUUCUAUUUUCCCCAAAAAUGAAUUAGGACAAAAUACUCGUGUAAUAAAAAUUUAAAAGAAUAUCCAUUCAUUCAAGAUUUAAUAAAUCGCGGCCCAAUACGUUAGGGCACAAUUCCAUAAAAUCCUAAACUCGGAAUAUUUCCUUUAUUAUUUUUUUAAAAAAAUCUUUAUCUCGAGAAAUCAACAUGUCACAUCCAAUACGUUAGGACACAACCCGUUGAACUCCCAAUGAUAAGUUUUAUUUUAUUUGAUUUAAAGAGCAAUCCUCGAUUGUUAGAUUUUACAAAAAAAAUUGAAACCCAAUACGUUAGGGCUCAAUUUUCUUGAGAAAUCCUAAAUACGAGUAUUAUCCCUAUUUUGAAACGUUUUAUUUUAAAAUUAAAUAAAAAGAUAGUGUAAUGUUAUGUUGAAUAUGUGAAUAAAUGCCCCUUUAAACAAAUAUAAAUAAUGAAUACAACAAUUUCAUAGAAACAAUAUGAAUAAAUAAGCAAAUAAACAAGAUAAUGACAUGCAAAAUAUCAAAUAAAUGGACAAGAUAAUAAUAAAAAUAUGCAAACAUAAAUUAAUAAGCAAAUAAACGAAAAAGGAUAUAUACAUGUACACAUAAAAAUAUAUAAGUUUAAAAUAUUUAAAAUAAUAUCAAAAUUAAAUAAAUAAAUAAAACAAGUAUAUAUAUAUGUAUGCGAAAAAUAUUAGUUUUUUUUCUUUGAAAAAGGUAUAAAUACAUGCUUUAAAAAAAUACCUAUAUAUAAAAUAAUAAUAAUUUCAUAUGAGAAUUAUAAAAUAAAAUAAAAAAAUACAAUUUCGUUAUAAAAAAUAUUGAUUUUUAAAGAAAAUAUGAAAAAAAAGACUAAAUUGGAUCGCAAGUAAAGAUCCGAGGUAAAUUCGCAAAUAAAUAAAGUCUGGAGGACUAAAUUGAAUGCGCGAAUUACAUAGAGGGGUUGGAAGGGCAAUUUUCCCUUCUCCUCAAAACGACGUCGUUCACAUUCGGAUGAAAUUGAAAACAGUAAUAAGAAAAAGGAAUAAUUUAGAAAAUAAAAAAAAAACUUAAUUGUAAAAACAUUAAAAGGCGGAGGGACUAAAAGCGCAAUUUACCCCUCCACUCAAAAACACGCGGAUCCUAGGCUGGGUCAGGUUGGAUUCGGGUCGGCCUCCCCAAAACGACGCCGUUUUAGGCAUCUGGAGGCCUUCCAAAACGGUACCGUUUUGGUACCGUAUACAAGCCUCCCUUCCCUCAAAAAUAUUUCAUUUUAAACAUUUAAAAAAAACAAAAAAAAACCUUUUAAAACUCUCUCAGCCCCUCUGUCCUCCGGCCAUCGGUCGGUCACCGGACGGUCACCGGCCACCGCGCCGGCCGCCGAUCUCCGACGCCGGCACCGGCGUAUGCGGUGGCCGAAAAAAGAAAACUCUCAGAUCUGGUUCCCUCGAGGCCUCUAAGCGUAAAUCCGGGCACAAAACCCUCCAACUAUUCGUGGAAGCACCUCAAAAGCCUAAGAGACUUUUCGAUUUCCGACCGUCUUUCCUCGAAGACGGUUCUUCGGUCGUUCACGGCGAUUAGGGCUUAAAACCUAGGUUCUUUCUUUCCUCUUAUAUUAUUUAUAUAUAUAAACGAUAAAAAUAAAUACAUAUAACAGAAAAAAAUGCAAGUAACAACCUUUGAUUUGGUUUUUUGCUCUCUAUAUUGCGAAAGUAGUAGUUUUUUAUUUCUGAUUUCGAAAUCGAAUCCCUUGCAAUGUAUUGGAAUGGAUUUUUUUAUAGCCGAAUGAAAAAUAAAAGAAAUCAAGAAACAAAUUUUGUUUGAUUCGAUCUGAUUUGAUUUGAUUUUCUUUCCUUUCUUGUGUUUGCAGGUGCAGAUCGUGAAGAUCCGGAGCUUGGCUUGGCUCGGUUGCGGCUCUGUUGAAGAUUAGAAACCCUAGGGUUUCAUCCAUUUUAGGCCAUUGUAAUUUGGGCCACCGCUUUGUUUUGGUUUGGGCCUUGUAGCCCGUUUGUAAUCGGACACUAUGGACUGUUUUUAUUUUAUUAUUUUAUCUGUUUUUGGAAUUUACUGGACCGUGCAAUAAUUGGGUGUUACAGACAUAAAAGAAACUUUAAACCUCAACCUUUAUACACCGUGCCAAAUUAGUCUUGAUUCUAAAAAAUUAACCCUCAAUGUUCUCACAUUGUGUAAUUUGGUCUUCUUCUUCUUUUUCAAACUUUCAAUUCUUUGUGACCCUUUCACCUAAAGAGCUAAAAAAGAAUAUAAAUCCCUCAACUAAAUUUGAUCGGAGAUAUAACAAAAACACUCGAAAAUCAAAGAUGAUAAUUUUUCAUCUUUUCUUUCUCUCAAAAUUAGCCCUCAAUGUCACAAAUAAAAGUAAAAUUGCGAGAGAGAGAGAGAGAGAGAGAGCUAGAGACCUAAUUACACAACGUUUACAUGUUGAAGGUAAAGAUUUUUGGGAUCAAGACUAUAUUGACACAAUGUAGAAAUGUUCAGGGUUAAAGUUGCUAUUACGCCAACUGUAAAAGAUGUCAAGUUAUCUUUUCGUUAAUAAUUUAACAGCUGGUGACCAGAAAAGAAAAUUUCGAAUAAUUGGGUGACCAGAAAAGAAAAUCUCGAAUAGUUGGGUGAUCAUUUUGUAACUUUGCGUUGUUGGGUGACCAUGAUAACUCUCAUAUUUAGAGUUAUUUUAGUAUAGUUUUUUUUAUAGAAUUUUAGGGGGUAAGUUGAGCAUUUAGGUUAAAUUUUAGUACAUUUUAUAGUUUUUCAGAUUAAUUAUAUUUUAUUUGAGUUUUAUCAUUUUUAGAGUUAGUUUGGAUUCGUGUGCUAUCUUCCUCUCUAUAUUGUAAGUUUCGGAUGAAGAACGGGGGCCUUGGAGCACGGGGUAAAAUAUAGUGAAGAGAAAUCAUCUGCUCCACCAAACUUGAUUCAGUGUGGUGGAGCACAAUCUUCAAUUAAGAAUUCCAGAUAGCAAGCAGCCCACUCCACUGCGAAUUCUACGUCUGGUGGAGCCAAGCGAUUAAUACCCUAAAAAUAGAGGGUGACGUGAUUAAGCGGAAUAGGAGAGGAAAAUGAGUGAAAAAAAAAAGAACUUGGAGGCCAAGGAACAAUUCUCUUACACUAAGGGGAGCUUCAACCUUGCAAAGACGAGAAGAAAAAGAGAUCUGGAGCGCUUGGCUUUAGUUCGACGAUUAUUUUUAUCUCUAGAUUAUUUUAUUUUUACUUUUUUUUCAAAGCAAGUUUGUUUUGAGUUUCUUCUUGUGAUGUUUUCUCAACGCAACAAGAAAUAAAAUCUAUUUUCUUGGAAUGAUGAUGAAUCAUAUUUUUUAGUUAAUUAAAUAUUUUCUCUUCAACUGUUUCAAUCUCUGUUAAUUAUUUAUUCAGCUUUAUGCUUAUUUACUCUGUUUGUCCGGCCACCAAGUCGUAUUAAUUUGGUGGUCUUGAUUUGUCGUAGAAGAGAAAAAUUAAGGUUUAGGUCUAGACUAAAUAGAUUAGGAUUAACUAUAGUAGCGCUGACGAAUGAGUUAAUUUACAGCUAGGAUAGGAAUAUACCUGAUGCGCAAAUCAACCCAAUAAGCUUUUCCGUAGUGGCGUUGCUCGACUUGCCUAGCACAAGAAUAUAGCUGGUGGGGGAGGGGGAUUAACUUAGCUAGAUAUUGGGAGGGUCUAGUUAAUGCCACAGAAUCAUAGGUUAAUAAUUGUAUAGACUGAACAAUUGAAUGAGAGAUAAUUGAUUAACAUAAUUAGGUAAAUUAGAGUUCCAAGAUCUUUCAAAAUCGAUUGAGAAACUUAGUAAUUUUCAUUUUUUUUUAUGUAGUUUAAUAAAAUCUCUUUAAUUCCUUUAGCUUAACUUCAGUAGUAAUUAGAAUUUCUUUUUUUGAUCCAGAUUGGAAAAAAUUGGAUAAUUGAUAUUUAGCAGCUUAAAAUUAAAUUUGGCCCUCAUAGGAAGGGCAUCAUCUUAUCACUGUAUUACUUGAUCAAUACGUGCACUUACAUAAUAAAGUUUCCCACAUAAAACCAGAAAAGAAAUUAACGUGGCUACCUAUAUAGUUUACCACACCAUUAGUCCUGUUGAGCAGCUCAAAGAUUUUAACAUAUAUAUAUAUAUAUAUAUAUAUUUAUGACAGAAACCUUAAUUAGGCCAUGCAUGUCUGCAAAUAUAAUAUAUAUAUACAUAUACUAACAACGUUGUACUCAUGUUACUAAUUAAAUCGAUUAAAGAUGCCUUGUGAUAAAGAAUUCAUCCAUCAUAGACGUGGGAGAAUUUUGCCAGCCAAACAGAUACUCCAGAUCCAAGAUUCUCCAACUAAUCAGACUUCAUGCCUCCCAUUUUCUAGUUCUAAAAAAGCUUCAAAGUUCAUACAUUCCAGCUAUAAAAACCCUUUGCUCCCUUCGCCACCUUCAUCGGCAGUUCCAGCUUAAUUUCUCACAACAAAAAACUCAUUUCAUCAAUCACUUCAAAUCAUUUUCUUUUGGGAAAUGGCUUCUAAUGUUAAAGCAUCAACUGCUCUUGUUCUUUCUCUUAACCUUCUUUUCUUUGCUUUUGUAAGCUCUCACAACGUGGAAAACCCCGUUUUUAUUCAUCCCGGAGAUGUGUACCAUAAUGGCAGAAUCACUCAUGGUCAUCCCGGUACAUGCAAUCCCCUAAAUCUCGGUGUAUGCCUUGGCCUGUUGGAUUUGGUGGGUGUUAGUGUCGGAAACGUACCUACAGAACCAUGUUGCAGCGUGAUUCAAGGAUUGGUCGAUCUUGAAGCUGCAGUUUGCCUUUGCACUGCUGUCAGAGCCAAUGUGUUGGGCAUUCCCAUCCACCUUCCUAUUUCAUUGAGCCUCUUACUCAAUAAAUGUGGAAGAGAAGUAGCUACGGAAUACAUUUGCAGCCCUUAAAUAGCCUUCUUCCCCACAUUCUUUGC